rnacentral:rRNA from 1 species
AUUGAACGCUGGCGGCAUGCCUUACACAUGCAAGUCGAACGGUAACAGGUCUUCGGAUGCUGACGAGUGGCGAACGGGUGAGUAAUGCAUCGGAACGUGCCCAGUAGUGGGGGAUAGCCCGGCGAAAGCCGGAUUAAUACCGCAUACGACCUGAGGGUGAAAGGGGGGGAUCGCAAGACCUCUCGCUAUUGGAGCGGCCGAUGUCAGAUUAGCUAGUUGGUGGGGUAAAGGCCUACCAAGGCAACGAUCUGUAGUUGGUCUGAGAGGACGACCAGCCACACUGGGACUGAGAAACGGCCCAGACUCCUACGGGAGUCAGCAGUGGGGAAUUUUGGACAAUGGGCGCAAGCCUGAUCCAGCAAUGCCGCGUGCAGGAAGAAGGCCUUCGGGUUGUAAACUGCUUUUGUCAGGGAAGAAAUCUUCUGGGUUAAUACCUCGGGAGGAUGACGGUACCUGAAGAAUAAGCACCGGCUAACUACGUGCCAGCCGCCGCCGUAACAC